rnacentral:rRNA from 1 species
UUCGCCCUUAGAGUUUGAUCUGGCUCAGGACGAACGCUGGCGGCGCGCCUAACACAUGCAAGUCGAACGGGACUAUGCUGGAAGAAGUUUUCGGAUGGAUUUUGGUAUAGUUUAGUGGCGGACGGGUGAGUAACACGUGAGCAACCUGCCUUCGAGAGGGGAAUAACGGCUGGAAACGGUCGCUAAUACCGCAUAAUAUACAGGAGGGACAUCCCUUUUGUAUCAAAGAUUUAUCGCUCGAAGAUGGGCUCGCGUCCGAUUAGGUAGUUGGUGAGGUAACGGCCCACCAAGCCGACGAUCGGUAGCCGGACUGAGAGGUUGAACGGCCACAUUGGGACUGAGACACGGCCCAGACUCCUACGGGAGGCAGCAGUGGGGGAUAUUGCACAAUGGGGGAAACCCUGAUGCAGCGACGCCGCGUGUGGGAAGACGGUCCUCUGGAUUGUAAACCACUGUCCCCAGGGACGAAGAUGACGGUACCUGGGGAGGAAGCUCCGGCUAACUACGUGCCAGCAGCCGCGGUAAUACGUAGGGAGCAAGCGUUGUCCGGAAUUACUGGGUGUAAAGGGAGCGUAGGCGGGAUGGCAAGUUGGGUGUUAAAUCUACCGGCUCAACUGGUAGUCGCACUCAAAACUGCUAUUCUUGAGUGAAGUAGAGGCAGGCGGAAUUCCUAGUGUAGCGGUGAAAUGCGUAGAUAUUAGGAGGAACACCAGUGGCGAAGGCGGCCUGCUGGGCUUUUACUGACGCUGAGGCUCGAAAGUGUGGGGAGCAAACAGGAUUAGAUACCCUGGUAGUCCACACCGUAAACGAUGAUUACUAGGUGUGGGGGGUCUGACCCCCUCCGUGCCGGAGCAAACGCAAUAAGUAAUCCACCUGGGGAGUACGGCCGCAAGGUUGAAACUCAAAGGAAUUGACGGGGGCCCGCACAAGCAGUGGAGUAUGUGGUUUAAUUCGAAGCAACGCGAAGAACCUUACCAGGUCUUGACAUCGUGUGCAUAGCCUAGAGAUAGGUGAAGUCCUUCGGGACACACAGACAGGUGGUGCAUGGUUGUCGUCAGCUCGUGUCGUGAGAUGUUGGGUUAAGUCCCGCAACGAGCGCAACCCUUGUAUUUAGUUGCUACGCAAGAGCACUCUAGAUAGACUGCCGUUGACAAAACGGAGGAAGGUGGGGAUGACGUCAAAUCAUCAUGCCCCUUACGACCUGGGCCACACACGUACUACAAUGGCGCACAACAGAGGGAAGCAAGACAGCGAUGUGGAGCAAACCCCUAAAAUGCGUCCCAGUUCAGAUUGCAGGCUGCAACCCGCCUGCAUGAAGUCGGAAUUGCUAGUAAUCGCGGAUCAGCAUGCCGCGGUGAAUACGUUCCCGGGCCUUGCACUCACCGCCCGUCA